rnacentral:rRNA from 1 species
AUGGCACCGCCGGGACUCCUCCCCACUGCUUCCACCUCGACAAUGGUUUCCCCAACCCCGCCGGCUUCGCCACCAGCCACUCCUUCAUCCACAAUAAUCAUAGGAGACAGCUACACGGGCGAGCCUACGAGCAAGACCUCGACGACGCUGGCGGUGGAAGACCACGGAUGUGAGGGCGCUUGGAAGGCCGCGGUGCCGCGAUUAAGUCAUGAGGACCGCGGCGGCAGCAGUCAAAAUCUUCAUGAAGUCUCUCCGCUUACCCUCCCUCGGUCUGAUUUCUCUCCAAUCUUUGAAUCCCCUCAGUUUGAACUAAUGCCAUGUAUUUUUUGA